rnacentral:rRNA from 1 species
UGCAAGUCGAACGGUAACAUGAGUAGCAAUACUUGAUGACGAGUGGCGCACGGGUGCGUAACGCGUAUGCAAUCUACCUUCAACUGGUGAAUAGCCCGAAGAAAUUCGGAUUAAUACACCAUAGUAUAUAGAGAUGGCAUCAUCUUUAUAUUAAAACUCCGGUGGUUGAAGAUGAGCAUGCGUGACAUUAGCUAGUUGGUAAGGUAAUGGCUUACCAAGGCUACGAUGUCUAGGGGAUCUGAGAGGAUUAACCCCCACACUGGUACUGAGACACGGACCAGACUCCUACGGGAGGCAGCAGUAAGGAAUAUUGGACAAUGGUCGCAAGACUGAUCCAGCCAUGCCGCGUGCAGGAUGACAGCCCUAUGGGUCGUAAACUGCUUUUGUGCGAGAAAAAACCCCUCUACGUGUAGAGGGCUGAUUGUAUCGUAAGAAUAAGGAUCGGCUAACUCCGUGCCAGCAGCCGCGGUAAUACGGAGGAUCCAAGCGUUAUCCGGAUUCAUUGGGUUUAAAGGGUGCGUAGGCGGAAUGAUAAGUCAGUGGUGAAAGCCUGCAGCUUAACUGCAGAACUGCCAUUGAUACUGUCAAUCUUGAGUACAUUUGAUGUGGGCGGAAUGUGUCAUGUAGCGGUGAAAUGCU